ensembl:lncRNA
AAGGUUGGAGGGCGUCGUGGGAGGAAAGAUGGAAGGAUGAGGGCACGGAAAGGGAUGAGGAGAAAGGCAAAACUAUUCAUCGCUUGGCCUAAUAAGUCCUUUGGAGGACUCCAAAAAUCUCAUUUAUUCAUCCAACAGGCAUUUAUUGAGUGCUAGUUGGCAAAUAUCCACGUGGGUACAGAAAUGCGUAAAAAGAAAAGCCUUUGCCCUUAAGGAACUCUGAAGCUGAUAAUGGAGACUGACAACCAAGCAGAUAGUUCUAAAACAUAUUUUCCAACGUAGAAAUUGAGGCUUAGGGAGCUUGCUUUUCUUCUUCUGAUGAUGAUUAGGGUUAAAACCAAAAUUAUUACCCUAUCUAGUGUAUAGGACCCCAGCUCACUGGCCCCUGCCUUCCUCUGCAGCCCUGCCUCCUGAGCCCCUUCUGCAUUCUUCCCUCCUGCCACACUGACUUUCAGUUCCUCCUAGGCUCCGUCUCCCUGCCUCGUGAAUAGUUUUCCUUCUAUUCACCAGGACUGUCUCUCGCUGGCAAAUCCCAGCACCACUGCAGUAACUUUAUUGGGCACAGCUUAGAAUCCACCGGAUAAAAUAUGUGCUACUUUAAUGGCCUAUUUAAGGACACGUAACUGAUGAGAAGUAGAAGCCCAAAACAUGAGGAUGAGUCAGAAUACCGAAACAGAAAGAGGAAGACACAAUGUAUGUAAGAUUGGCAUCUCCCCAUUUACUCCACCACUCCCCAGGGAGUAGGAACACGCUCUUCUGUUUUAAAGAAAGGGAAGAGGGAUCAAGAUAGCUAUGGAUGCUGGGCAGUCAAAGCCAGGAUGUCCUACAAGACCAGGGCUAAAACCCCAGGAGACUCCCCUGCUGCCGCCAUCUCCACGUCCGCCGUCCCAGAGCCCAGCAGAAAGGCGCCGGCGCCGCAUCACGUGCCUGCAGCGUAAUCUCCCAGUGGCCAGUGGUGCCUCAUACAUGACUCGCCCGACCAAUGCUUGGCGUCCGCGCUCCAGGCUCCUCGUUGCUAGGUGACCUCAGCCACUGCUGGUUUGCAGUGCUUGGCUGGUAGCGGUGGAAACUUCAGACCCGGCUCAGUCUCUUCGCCGCGCCAGUCCCUGCGAGGGUCUUUUGCUACGGAUGCUUUCUCUCCGGCGGGAGCCUAAAUGGCGCCCCCCGCCCCCCACCUCCUUCCGCUUUCGAGGCUUGAACCCAGGCGUCCGAAUAUCCGCUAUCAAGCGGGCUCCGGUUCCUUAGGGCUCGGUGCCCCCUCGGCUAAGAGAACCGGCGCAGACUCUAGUUC